AAAUGUCUGAAGUUUUUUUUUUUUUUUUAAACCCAGAAAAUUUGAAGUGUUUUUCUAGAAACUUUUUGAAUUUCCAGCCUUAGAAAUGUUGAAGUUUGUUGUAGGAAAUUUAUGACAGGAUAAGAGUCCUGAGCAUCUUAUCCUAAUUCUUCCUAAUUUUUCUUUUAAAAAAAGCUGUUUUUAUUAAAUAAUUACAACUUAAAUUUUGAGUUACUUCAGAUUCACUUUUUUAACUUUUCAGUUUUAAUAUAAUUAAUAUAAAUUAUGCCAAUAAACAAAUGUCAUCUCAAGGCUGCACAAGAUCAAAUAUAUAACCCCAGUGAAUCCUGUUAUCAUACAAUAUAGUUAAGAUCAUAAUGAAAUUGGUCAAAGAUUGUCUGUCUACAAAAUGCCAGAAAAUCACAGUAAACAGUGGGGAGGAAUCAUUCCUAUAAGAAUGAAUUGGAAGCAAUAAUUAAGUGUUUUUUCACACCUGAUAGUCCGGUAGACUGUUUGAUUUGGGACCAAAAUCACAUUUGUUACAUUUUCAGCUGGUGCAGUUCUCCGUCACUGCACUGCGUCUAACUAACCAAACUUCUGAGAAAACUGUUCCCCUCCUCGCCUGUGGGGGCGCUGCACCAAGAACCACUGAACGAAACGACAUGAAAACCUCUGAACGUUUUCAUGUCUAUGCCUUUGAAAAAGACACUGAGCGCAACUUCCUUCUUCGCACAAUUUAAAUAAAAAUGGAGCGGCGUCAGCUUUUAGCUGUUGUGGAAUUUCUCUUUUGUCUUCGGCUAAAAACCACAAGUCAUUUCUCCUGCUAGCUCUCGGCUAACGCGUUUGUUUUGGUUGUAUUUUCCCAUAAUGCCCUGCUCUACAAUCCGCUUCCUACUUCUUGCCCCAACAAGUCCACCUUUCUCCAGGAGACAACGUCCUUCUGUUUACCGGACCAGACACUCGUCCUGACCUCUACACGCUUAGCUUCAGGUCAAAGGUCAUGAUUUUAAAGCAACAACAAAACCGCAUCACCUCCAAAAAGCAGCAAAAUGAGACAGAAAGAAAAUCCUCAGCACAUCUUACUCCCACUGAACUUCAACAAUGAAGUGUUUCCGUUUUCACUGCUGGCCGAACACGGAGAGAUGAAAUCCAUCUGGAGACAUAAACAUCAAAUAAGUGCGUGUUGUUCCAUUCUAAAGACACCAUUCAUCAAAACUAAUCACAGGAGCCCAAAAUAAAUCUCCGGUUCCAUUCCUCACAUUUCAUGAGGCAGCACAUGGACCGUUCAGCU